GCGGAUCUAGAAAUGGACGAAGUAUAUGCUCAGAUGAUGCUUCAACCUGUUCCCUCUAUUGACUUGUCUUCCCACAUUGUUAGGGUUUACUUGACUUUGAAGAUUGACUUGUCUUCCCACAUUUGAUUUUUUUUGCAUCUAGUAUGUUGGG